ACUACGGGGGGCAGCAGUGGGGGAUAUUGCACAAUGGGGGAAACCCUGAUGCAGCGACGCCGCGUGUGGGAAGACGGUCCUCUGGAUUGUAAACCACUGUCCCCAGGGACGAAGAUGACGGUACCUGGGGAGGAAGCUCCGGCUAACUACGUGCCAGCAGCCGCGGUAAUACGUAGGGAGCGAGCGUUGUCCGGAAUUACUGGGUGUAAAGGGAGCGUAGGCGGGACUGCAAGUUCGGUGUCAAAUCUACCGGCUCAACCGGUAGCCGCACUCAAAACUGCAGUUCUUGAGUGAAGUAGAGGCAGGCGGAAUUCCUAGUGUAGCGGUGAAAUGCGUAGAUAUUAGGAGGAACACCAGUGGCGAAGGCAGCCUGCUGGGCUUUUACUGACGCUGAGGCUCGAAAGUGUGGGGAGCAAACAGGAUUAGAUACCCCAGUAGUC
rnacentral:rRNA from 1 species